rnacentral:rRNA from 1 species
AUACGAGGGGUGUAAGCGUUAUUCGGAAUUACUGGGCGUAAAGGGUGCGUAGACGGCGCAUUAAGUCUGUUGUUAAAUUUUCCGGCUUAACCGGAAAGCUGCGGUAGAAACUGAUGUGCUAGAGAGUGAGAGAGAGAAGUGGAAUUCCCGGAGUAGCGGUAAAAUGCGUGGAUCUCGGGAGGAACACCAAUGGCGAAGGCAGCUUCUUGGCUCAUUUCUGACGUUGAGGCACGAAAGCGUGGGGAGCAAACAGGAUUAGAAACCCCAGUAGUCC